CAAUGUUUAGCUGCCUUGGCUAGUAAACAAUAUUUCGCCCAAAGACAGGGUUUUACUGUUUUCUAAACUACUAAGUUCGACUUGUCACAACCAUUAAACAAGGAAAACUUUUGAAGGGGUCUGAACAGUGUUUUCAUGGACUUUCCUGAGUAUUAAAGGUCAGAGUACUUCAAAAUGAGAAGAUCCUGCCAUGGAAAAGACGACUGGGUGGACAAAGUGGAAAGGAGGGGAAAACUCACCAUGCAGCAGGACACCUUCAGCUGCGGGGUCUUUAAUGCAGAUGGCCAAGGAAGUUGCACAGAACUUCCCCUCCCAAAUUGAUAUAGAACCUUCACAAAAGCACAUGGAGCAACUGCAAAACUAAAUGGCUGAGGAUAUACUAAAAAUGUCUGAACCUGGAUGUGGCCCAAAGACUGACUGGCUUAGUAACUUUAUUUAACACAUUUAUAAUCUUUUGACAACAGUGACGGCAUGUAAGACAAUUUUUGAUAACACAAUGGAUGGCUAAUUCGUCAUACGUUAUAAAUAAUAUCAAUGCAGUGUUACGCUUUGUUUUAGAUUUGAUGUUUUGCAUGCCAACAGUGGUUCAAUGUGCUGUCCCUAGGACUGAAGACAAGAGUUCAGAGUGAAGAACACAAACUGGAAGUGCUCUCUUUGUUGUUGAAAAUGUAUGCUAUACCCCAUCCACACUGAAGAGGCUCUGAAAUGUACAUCAACCAGGGAUAAAGAGAAAGUCAACACUGAAAUGUUUCAUACUCAUUUGAAUGAAAGUGUCUGACAUGUUGGAAAUUAUUAAAGGUCUACAAUUUCUGCUUAAUCUGUCAAUAUUACAUUUUUAUUCAUUGAUUUACUGGCCACUAUUACUGUGGUUACAUGUUCAGUAUAUGUAUUGACCAGCAAACCCACUGCAGCCUACCUCAAGCUCACUCUCCAUCCCUGCUUUGGACAAUUAAUAACAUGACUCUUGUACUUUGCCCUAUUCCUACUUUAUCUGGUGACAACUGCAUGCAUGGCCAUCCUUGUAGAGUUUCCGAGCCUUGUUUUAUAUCUUAUGACACAAUAUUGUAUACUUGUAUAGAGCAGACAAAGCCAGUAAUCUGUAAAAGUUUCACCAUGUUACAGGUGGUCCAAAAGCUGUCGAGACCCCUUCACAGAGAAACUGCCCAACAACAGAAAGCCUGUGUUGUGAGGCCAUUGCACUGAUGAACCAUACAGCUGAUGAAGCAAUUGUAAAGGAGAAGAUGAAGCAGAUGUUCGCCUAUCGCCAAAAGAUGGUUCAUGACCCAGUGAAGUCCUGAAAUAUUCACAGCAUUCCAAAGACAUAGCAGGAAUGAUUGAGCAAGAUUUUAGUGAUGCAACCUCUGCAAAGUUCCUCGAGAAGUGGCCUACUCUCUCCAAGCAGGAAGUCAUUGACCAAAGCCGUGGCCUCACACAGACAGGCAUCCUGCAAGACCUGGUUCAAGAUGCUGAAUCCACAACAGAAGUGGAAAAUGGAUGGGACAGUGACAUGUCCUCUAUUUUGGUCCUUGUCCACCUUAUGCCACCGUCACCUCAUGGCCACAAGAGACCAGGAAAAUUCUCAGCCAGACACACCAGUAACCACAUUGUGAAGUUUAUCAAGACUGGGACCAGCAUCUGGAGAGCGCCAUGGAAAGCCUUCAACCCUAUCUGCUUGCUGUGGGGACCCAGAGGAGUGUGAUUCACAAGUACUUCAUUGUGAUUGACAAACAUGCAAUACAUUGUAAGUCACCAGACUCUCUUGCCUGUUUUGAUGAGCUUUUCAAAGCUCACUUUGUCUUUGGUACCUCACAUCUCCCUCACCAGCUGUCAGAGCAGCUUACAGAUCACUGCACCUGUACAUAGAUAGCCCAUCUGUAAACAGCCCAUCUAUCUACCUACCUCAUCCCCAUACUGGUAUUUAUUUAUUUUGCUCCUUUGCACCCCAGUAUCUCUACCUGCACUUUCAUCUUCUGCCAAUCUAUCAUUCCAGUGUUUAAUUGCUAUAUUGUAAUUAAUUCGCCACCAUGGCCUAUUUAUUUCCUUAACUUACCUCACCUCAUUUGCACUCACUGUAUAUAGACUUUGUUUUCUUUUGUUCUACUGUAUUAUUGACUGUAUGUUUUGUUUAUUCCAAGUGUAACUGUUGUUGUAUGUAUCAAAUUGCUACGCUUUAACUUGGCCAGGUCGCAGUUGCCAAUGAGAACUUGUUCUCAACUAGCCUACCUGGUUAAAUAAAGGUGAAAUAAA